rnacentral:rRNA from 5 species
UGACCUCAAAUCAGGUAGGAC